rnacentral:rRNA from 1 species
UACGUAGGGUGCGAGCGUUGUCCGGAAUUAUUGGGCGUAAAGAGCUCGUAGGCGGUCUGUCGCGUCGAUCGUGAAAACUUGGGGCUUAACCCUGAGCUUGCGGUCGAUACGGGCAUGACUGGAGUUCGGCAGGGGAGACUGGAAUUCCUGGUGUAGCGGUGAAAUGCGCAGAUAUCAGGAGGAACACCGGUGGCGAAGGCAAUCCCCUGGGCCUGCACUGACGCUCAUGCACGAAAGCGUGGGGAGCAAACAGG